UCCUACGGGAGGCAGCAGAGGGGAAUUUUGGACAAUGGGGGCAACCCUGAUCCAGCCAUGCCGCGUGAGUGAUGAAGGCCCUAGGGUUGUAAAGCUCUUUUGUGCGGGAAGAUAAUGACGGUACCGCAAGAAUAAGCCCCGGCUAACUUCGUGCCAGCAGCCGCGGUAAUACGAAGGGGGCUAGCGUUGCUCGGAAUCACUGGGCGUAAAGGGUGCGUAGGCGGGUCUUUAAGUCAGGGGUGAAAUCCUGGAGCUCAUCUCCAGAACUGCCUUUGAUACUGAAGAUCUUGAGUUCGGGAGAGGUGAGUGGAACUGCGAGUGUAGAGGUGAAAUUCGUAGAUAUUCGCUAGAACACCAGUGGCGAAGGCGGCUCACUGGCCCGAUACUGACGCUGAGGCACGAAAGCGUGGGGAGCAAACGGGAUUAGAUACCCUGGUAGUCCACGCCGUAAACGAUGAAUGCCAGCCGUUAGUGGGUUUACUCACUAGUGGCGCAGCUAACGCUUUAAGCAUUCCGCCUGGGGAGUACGGUCGCAAGAUUAAAACUCAAAUGAAUUGACGGCA
rnacentral:rRNA from 1 species